rnacentral:rRNA from 1 species
AUGGUGCAGUUCGGUGAUCAAGUGCACUUGCCUUGGAUUAUUAAUGGAGAUUUCAAUUUGAUCUGCUCGGAGUUGGAGCGCAGUUCAGGGAGAGGUAACAGGAGACUCAUGUCUAAAUUUAGACAUGCUAUUAAUAGGCUGGGUCUGCAUGAUAUGCCAAUGAUUGGAAGGAGGUAUACCUGGUGCAAUCAACAAGAACAUGCGGUGAUGGUGAGGUUAGAUCGCGUGCUAUUCAACAAUGCUUGGGAGGAGGUCAACCCAAUCAGCGAUCUUCAUCCACUCAGCUCUAAUAUCUCAGAUCACACACCAUUGCUUCUCUCUUGUUCGGCGGUUGAUCACGUGCUUGCCGUUUUCAAUUCGAGAAUUUUUGGUGUAAGCUGCCGGGGUUCUUGGAUGUUGUUAAGGAAGCGUGGGAUCAGGAGGUUUCUAGUUGUGACCCAAUGA